UGGGUGUAGGCUGACGCUACCGUCCCCUCCC
rnacentral:piRNA from 1 species